rnacentral:rRNA from 1 species
GCAGGAAAGCAGGGGACCGCAAGGCCUUGCGCUCUUUGAGCGGCCGAUGUCAGAUUAGCUAGUUGGUGAGGUAAAGGCUUACCAAGGCGACGAUCUGUAGCGGGUCUGAGAGGAUGAUCCGCCACACUGGAACUGAGACACGGUCCAGACUCCUACGGGAGGCAGCAGUGGGGAAUUUUGGACAAUGGGGGCAACCCUGAUCCAGCCAUGCCGCGUGAGUGAAGAAGGCCUUCGGGUUGUAAAGCUCUUUCGGCCGGGAAGAAAUCGCAUGGGCCAAUACCCUGUGUGGAUGACGGUACCGGAAUAAGAAGCACCGGCUAACUACGUGCCAGCAGCCGCGGUAAUACGUAGGGUGCGAGCGUUAAUCGGAAUUACUGGGCGUAAAGCGUGCGCAGGCGGUUUUGUAAGACAGGCGUGAAAUCCCCGGGCUUAACCUGGGAACUGCGUUUGUGACUGCAAGGCUAGAGUACGGCAGAGGGGGGUGGAAUUCCACGUGUAGCAGUGAAAUGCGUAGAGAUGUGGAGGAACACCAAUGGCGAAGGCAGCCCCCUGGGUCGAUACUGACGCUCAUGCACGAAAGCGUGGGUAGCAAACAGGAUUAGAUACCCUGGUAGUCCACGCCCUAAACUAUGUCAACUAGGUGUUGGGUGGGUAAAACCAUUUAGUACCGUAGCUAACGCGUGAAGUUGACCGCCUGGGGAGUACGGCCGCAAGGUUAAAACUCAAAGGAAUUGACGGGGACCCGCACAAGCGGUGGAUGAUGUGGAUUAAUUCGAUGCAACGCGAAAAACCUUACCUACCCUUGACAUGCCAGGAACUUGCCAGAGAUGGCUUGGUGCCCGAAAGGGAGCCUGGACACAGGUGCUGCAUGGCUGUCGUCAGCUCGUGUCGUGAGAUGUUGGGUUAAGUCCCGCAACGAGCGCAACCCUUGUCGUUAAUUGCCAUCAUUUAGUUGGGCACUUUAACGAGACUGCCGGUGACAAACCGGAGGAAGGUGGGGAUGACGUCAAGUCCUCAUGGCCCUUAUGGGUAGGGCUUCACACGUCAUACAAUGGUCGGUACAAAGGGUUGCCAAGCCGCGAGGCGGAGCCAAUCCCAGAAAGCCGAUCGUAGUCCGGAUUGCAGGCUGCAACUCGCCUGCAUGAAGUCGGAAUCGCUAGUAAUCGUGGAUCAGCAUGUCACGGUGAAUACGUUCCCGGGUCUUGUACACACCGCCCGUCACACCAUGGGAGCGGGUUCCGCCAGAAGUAGGUAGCCUAACCGCAAGGGGGGCGCUUACCACGGCGGGGUUCGUGACUGGGGUGAAGUCGUAACAAGGUAGCCGUAGGGGAACCUGCGGCUG